rnacentral:rRNA from 1 species
UUACCCUACGGGACGCAGCAGUGAGGAAUAUUGGUCAAUGGGCGGAUGCCUGAACCAGCCAAGUCGCGUGAGGGAAGAAGGCCCUGCGGGUCGCAGACCUCUUUGGACGGGGAGCAAGGCCGCCGACGUGUCGGCGGAAGGAGAGUACCCGCAGAACAAGCAUCGGCUAACUCCGUGCCAGCAGCCGUGGUAAUACGGAGGAUGCGAGCGUUAUCCGGAUUUAUUGGGUUUAAAGGGUGCGCAGGCG